CUUAGAUCUAAAAGGAAAGGCAGGAUUUUCACAUGCCAAACCAAGAACAAAGACUACAGUAUAUGAGUUCUUGGAGACAUGAGGGAUCUUUCAAGAGACAAUGCAAGUAUUGAUGAUGGGGAAGCAAAGAUGAAAUGCUUUAUGCUCAGCUCCACAAAUCCUGCCGUGGUUCGGUGCAACUGUGGGUUAUACACCAUGGAGCAGUAAGUAAAAUGUGGACCCAUGAACUGAGUAAAACUUUGGGGAAGAAUGAAGUCAAGAAGGGUUUGAAUACCUGGUCACUUCAAGGUGCUUGAAGGAAGAGGAGAGUUUGUAUGGAUCUAGGGAGAAAGAAGAAUAUUCCAGAAGAGGGAAAUGAUGUAAGGUGAAGUACUAAGAAUAAACACGAGCUGUGUCCUG